CUCCGGAACCACGCCAAGGCCGUUGCAGACGACGCGGACCGCAUUCGCAGGGUGCCGUGCUCGCCACGCUCCGUGUCGAGCAGGUCCCUCAGCUUGGCGGUUUCGUCUGCAAGAACCACCCGGAAGACCCGCUAAAUCAAAAAUCACCGCGACAUCACAAAGAUAAAAGGAAUGAGCAGAGUCUUACCCUCGGACUAGGUCUUCAGCUGGCGUUCCCGGGCCACAGA
rnacentral:lncRNA from 1 species